GACGAACGCUGGCGGCGUGCCUAAUACAUGCAAGUUGAGCGCUGAAGGUUGGUACUUGUACCAACUGGGUGAGCAGCGAACGGGUGAGUAACGCGUGGGGAAUCUGCCUUUGAGCGGGGGACAACAUUGGGAAACGAAUGCUAAUACCGCAUAAAAACUUUAAACACAAGUUUUAAGUUUGAAAGAUGCAAUUGCAUCACUCAAAGAUGAUCCCGCGUUGUAUUAGCUAGUUGGUGAGGUAAAGGCUCACCAAGGCGAUGAUACAUAGCCGACCUGAGAGGGUGAUCAGCCACAUUGGGACUGAGACACGGCACAAACUCCUACGGGAGGGAGCAGUAGGGAAUCUUCGGCAAUGGACGAAAGUCUGACCGAGCAACGCCGCGUGAGUGAAGAAGGUUUUCGGAUCGUAAAACUCUGUUGGUAGGGAAGAACGUUGGUGAGAGUGGAAAGCUCAUCAAGUGACGGUAACUACUCAGAAAGGGACGGCUAACUACGUG
rnacentral:rRNA from 1 species